rnacentral:rRNA from 1 species
GUGGGGAAUAUUGGACAAUGGGGGGAACCCUGAUCCAGCCAUGCCGCGUGUGUGAAGAAGGCCUUUUGGUUGUAAAGCACUUUAAGCGAGGAGGAGGCUACCGAGAUUAAUACUCUUGGAUAGUGGACGUUACUCGCAGAAUAAGCACCGGCUAACUCUGUGCCAGCAGCCGCGGUAAUACAGAGGGUGCAAGCGUUCAUCGGAUUUACUGGGCGCAAAGCGCGCGUAGGUGGCCAAUUAAGUCAAAUGUGAAAUCCCCGAGCUUAACUUGGGAAUUGCAUUCGAUAGUGGUUGGGUAGAGUAUGGGAGAGGAUGGUAGAAUUCCAGGUGUAGCGGUGAAAUGCGUAGAGAUCUGGAGGAAUACCGAUGGCGAAGGCAGCCAUCUGGCCUAAUACUGACACUGAGGUGCGAAAGCAUGGGGAGCAAACAGGAUUAGAUACCCUUGUAGUCC